UUGACUCAUUCAUCUUAGGAUUUGUUCCCUUAUUGUCCAGCUUCAAAUCACAGAAGAAUGAGGCUGCAACUUUCAGGCAGAAUUCUGAGAAGAAAGAUCAGAUAAGAUGAAUAUCACCAGAGAGAAAGCUAAAAUGAUGGAGCUGAGACAGACGUGCCUAUGUGAGAAGUGAAUGGGAAGGAACCUGUACAUGAUAAUGCAGUUUGAACUACAGAAAGCAAGACAAUGGAUGAUGGAGGAUACUGCUGCUUAGUUUCUGCUUUUCCAGUGACUUGAAACAUGAUAAGAAAAAAAUCAUUACAGACUCUGCACCUUAGCUUCUCCAAAUGUUGUCUGUGGAUAAUAAUUCUCAGCUGCCCUGUUGGUUGCAGUCCUCUGACUUCUGUACAGAUGAACUUUCCAGUUGGUAGUGAGCUGUUCUUGUGGACUCUUGGCCCUGGAUUUGUCCUGGAACAUGGCAACAUCUAGCAUGGUCACUGAACACCUUACAGCAGAGAAUGUCUGCAUUGAACAUUUUCCAUAUUGCACCGAAACUGAAUUUCAGUCAGAAUGACCUGGAAAGAAGAGCUCAGGAUGGGGAAUCAGAAUCUGGCUUCGUUGCUGAUUCAUACUUGGCCUAGGAACAUAGAGCACUAUAAAUGUUGUGAAACCAGUGUUGCAUCUUUUCACUACUGCAAGAGAGAAUCAGCAGAUCAUGCCAUUCUGGUGAGGUUGCCCUGCAAGAACACUGACCUCAUGGCACUGCUUUUAUUGUUCAAGCAAUGGGUAAAACAUGACAUGAGCCAUGUUAGCAUGCUGAAGUUAACUCUAAGAAAGGAUUGUUAAUCUGUUCCAGCUCGAUCACGUAGUGGCUGCAACUUAGCUGGGCAGGAUUUGAGCAACGGUCUGGUUAAAGAACACUGAGGGUGCGUGGCCAAACCCUUGACCAGUAUUUCCAUAAAGAAGAGUGGCUCCACAACCUCACUUGACCUCAGCUACAAGAAGAGAAAAUAAAGACGGUUCAUUCUUGUGGAACUACAACUGAACAGGCCCACUUAUAGUUUUACAGGACAGAAGAGGAAAGCACGAUAGCAGGGGUUAGAGGUCAGCAGGCACCAUCCAAUUGAAAACAAUUGUCAUUUGAACAACAGCAACAGCUGGAGAUCAAGUAGCCAUCACUGCUGAAACAGCUUCCUUCUGACUGGUGUUGAAACUGCUACUUGUCAUCAGCUAGAUCACUUCAAAACACUCCUUGAUCUAUGAAGUUCAUUCAAAUUAGAUGCUUAGUCACUGGAAAAACAACAACAAACAAACAAACCCAGAAACAAAAAAUGAAGCAGGAGUCAGUGCCUGGGAAGAGAAGUCAACAGCCAUCACCCAUAAGCCAGACGUACUGUGGUUGGAGGCGAUGACUGUGUAUAUGACACUGCUGCAGAGCUGCCAUCAUGAAGCAUGACUGUGCUCCUGAUCUUUCAUUUAUCCAAUAACCUGCACUAACUUUGGUUUUGAUCCAAUCUCACCUUAGGUAAUUUCAGUCUACAUUCUCAUCUUGUAUUUAUUGAUACUAACACUGAGUUUUUCACUGUAGAACCAUACUGCCCAUAGGUUCACUAGGACAAACUCGGUUAAAAAUUCUGAAACAAAUAUAUUUGCCAAGCCAUUUUUGGGGUGAAUUUCCCACGCUUACAAAUAGACAUUUUGGCUAGGGCAAUUGAAUGUGAUCCAGCUGUAUAUAAUUCCCUGGGUGGAUUAUAAAUGCUUGCUAAAGCAUACAAUCACUUGAGUUGCUACACAAUGUGCUACACAAUGUGCUAUUCUGGAGGAAAUGCAAGAGCUGGAGAAGUGUUAUAGUUAAACUAAAUGCUGGGAGUUGACAGGACAUGCAGUUUCUUUUGACUUGUUCUUGAAAACCACUACUGACAACUAUGACAGGUUCUGUAUCUGUAGUUGAUUGAUAGAACUUUUCCAAAUGGAAGAAAAUAAUUUUAGUCAUUAGUGGAAAAGGUUAUCAUUAAUAGUGAUCCACAAUGUUAAUCACAAGUUUAAAUUGUCAAUUUGAUUAUCAUAAUUGUAACAGCACAGUGACUAAAUUGGGAUCACUUAUUAGUGGGACUAAUACGCUCCUAUUACAGAGUUUUCAAUGGCUAUAUCAAUACCCACGGAACAGAAUAAAAACUGUCCUUGUGCUGUCACAUCAGAAACAGCUCACAAUAAGCUAGCAGAUCUAUAUUGGCUCAAAGAACAGAGCUAAUGAGAAUGACAGGAAAUAAACCCACAAAUUAUUUAGUCUUCUGCAACAGCCACAGUGAAUUCACCUGUAGAAUGGAGUCAGCACAAACCAUUGCACAAGGAUCAGUGCUAGAAGUCUCUGAUACAAAGAUAUGGGCUUAUUCUGCUAACUGCAAACUGUUCUGGCCCUGUCUGUCCCUUGUCACUCAUGAACAACAUCUUUCACUUUGUCUUACUUGUACGGUACUACCUCACAAACAGACUCUUCCACAUAAAAAUGAGCUUCCUCCUUACUUAAUUUCAAGUGUUUUCAAAUUGUUUUUAACCUGAAAUGCAUCAAAAUUUUAUUUAAUUAUUUAAAGAUACCAUUCUUCUUUUGGAGCUUUCUUCUCAGUUGUAAAACUCUGCAUAUUAUAACAACAAUUUAUCAUUAAAAUU